UUGAAUCCUUCACACGGUAAUU
rnacentral:miRNA from 1 species